rnacentral:rRNA from 1 species
AUUGAACGCUGGCGGCAGGCUUAACACAUGCAAGUCGAGCGGAGUGAUGGUGCUUGCACUAUCACUUAGCGGCGGACGGGUGAGUAAUGCUUAGGAAUCUGCCUAUUAGUGGGGGACAACAUCUCGAAAGGGAUGCUAAUACCGCAUACGUCCUACGGGAGAAAGCAGGGGAUCACUUGUGACCUUGCGCUAAUAGAUGAGCCUAAGUCGGAUUAGCUAGUUGGGGGGGUAAAGGCCUACCAAGGCGACGAUCUGUAGCGGGUCUGAGAGGAUGAUCCGCCAGACUGGGACUGAGACACGGCCCAGACGCCUACGGGAGGGAGCAGUGGGGAAUAUUGGACAAUGGGGAGAACCCUGAUCCAGCCAUGCCGCGUGUGUGAAGAAGGCCUUAUGGUUGUAAAGCACUUUAAGCGAGGAGGAGGCUCUUUUGGUUAAUACCCAAGAUGAGUGGACGUUACUCGCAGAAUAAGCACCGGCUAACUCUGUGCCAGCCGCCGCAGUAA